rnacentral:lncRNA from 10 species
AUCUUUUCAUUUGCAUGGAUAGUAACUGGUGUCACUCCUGCUUUCUAGUUAAGGCCUGCAAACUUGGUAAUCAUUAAUCAUUAAAUACUCAAAGGCAUACAGGAGCCUAGACAGGUGACAUAAAUGUAUAAACUGGGGUUGGAUAUAAGGCAAUAAAAAGUAGUGAGGCCUACUGGAAUGCACGACCCACCUAAAGGCAUUCUGUGUGUGUGUGUGUGUGUGUGUGUGUGUGUGUGUAGUACUUGAAUAAAUUUUUCUUAAAAUACCCAAUAAAUCAACUGAAAAAAAAUUUGUGCCAGGCAAACAAAACUCAGCUGCAGCACUGGUUUGCCCACCCAGCUUGAAGCCAUUUACUUCCAGGUUUCUUUAGCCAGUCUGUAUUUUAAGACAAGGUCCAUGCUGAAGGCAUUUCUAAUUCUAUUAUUUUACCUUCAUAAACUUGUCAGGCCAGGAGCUGGGGAAAGGCCAUUUUGAAGGAAGGGUUCAAGGGGCAUACCUUUGGGCUUCGUGUGAAGGGGAGAAAGGGAAGUGUGGCGAGUUCCUCAGGACAUAAAGUGCAUGAUCAAGAGGCUACUACAUGCCAUCUCCAGAAAAGAAUCAAGACGUUAGGCCAAGGAUGUCAACUCUAAAAAACUUAAGAAAUCUUGUAUUUUUAAAAUUUUUCUGUGCACAGCAGAAAUACUGGUAUUUUUUUUCUUUCUUUUUUUUUUGAGUCGGAGUCUUGCUCUGUCGCCCAGGCUGGAGUGUGAUGGCGCGAUCUCAGCCCACUGCAACCUCCGUCUCCUGCGUUCAAGUGAUUCUCUUGCCUUAGCCUCCCAAGCAGGAGGAUCGCUUGAACCCGGGAGGCAGAGGUUGCAGUGAGCCAAGAUCAUGACAUUGUACUCCAGCCUGGGCAACAAGAGCAAAAC